GGGUGCGAUCAAACCAGCACUACAGCAUCGGAUCCCAUUAGAACUCUGAAGUGAAGCAUGCAUGGGUGAGAGUAGUACUAGGAUGGGUGACCCUUUGGGAAGUCCUCGUGUUACACUCC
rnacentral:rRNA from 15 species